rnacentral:rRNA from 1 species
AAGCAGGGGAUCGCAAGACCUUGGGCUUUUGGAGUGGCCGAUGCCUGAUUAGCUAGUUGGUGGGGUAAGGGCCUACCAAGGCGACGAUCAGUAGUUGGUCUGAGAGGACGACCAGCCACACUGGGACUGAGACACGGCCCAGACUCCUACGGGAGGCAGCAGUGGGGAAUUUUGGACAAUGGGCGAAAGCCUGAUCCAGCAAUGCCGCGUGAGUGAAGAAGGCCUUCGGGUUGUAAAGCUCUUUCAGUCGAGAAGAAAAGGUCGCGACUAAUAAUCGCGACUCAUGACGGUAUCGACAGAAGAAGCACCGGCUAACUACGUGCCAGCAGCCGCGGUAAUACGUAGGGUGCGAGCGUUAAUCGGAAUUACUGGGCGUAAAGGGUGCGCAGGCGGCUUUGUAAGUCAGAUGUGAAAUCCCCGGGCUUAACCUGGGAAUUGCGUUUGAAACUACAAAGCUUAGA